rnacentral:rRNA from 2 species
UCUUAUAACAGUUUAUGCCGCACUUCAUACCUUGCACUGGCGCUUUCGGGUGUCGCUGUUGGAUGGACCCUGGGUGCAUUAGCUAGUUGGUGAGGUAACGGCUCACCAAGGCCACGAUGCAUACCCGACCUGAGAGGGUGAUCGGCCACACUGGGACUGAGACACGGCCCAAACUCCUACUGGAGGCAGCAGUACGGAAUCUUCGGCAAUGGACGAAAGUCUGACCGAGCAACGCCGCGUGAGUGAAGAAGGUUUUCGGAUCGAAAAACUCUGUUGUUAUAAUAUAACAAGGACGUUACUAACUGAACGUACCCUGACGGUAUCUAAUCAGAAAGCCCCGGCUAACUACGUG